UCCGUCUCACGUGACUGGCGAAAAACCGGCCUGCUUCGGCAUCCGGGAAUAGGUGGAUAUCCACCGGGAAGCGUGAGAUUUCAAUAGCCGUGCGCCUGGGCAGCCAAG
rnacentral:ncRNA from 2 species